rnacentral:lncRNA from 1 species
CAAUCACCGCCAUUCAUGGUCAAGUCUAGCCGGAAGCUGUCGCUAUUCUGGACGUCGAUAUUGCAAGUCUCACUUCGACCUAGGGCGUAAACGCGGCCACUGAACGGGCGGUUUGUUUUAAUCAGGACUUCGAUCUUGAUCAAAAAAGGAGGAGAGAGAGGAUUGAUUACCAUCGUAACAAGUUCCAGUACGAUCGCAGUUGAUAUCAGAUUCGGUGGCGGUAGUCAAAUCGCCUGUGCCUCCACUGGUGAUUCCACCUGAUCCACCGCUGCUGAUUCCAGUGAUAUCGGUGCCAUCAGUACUACCGGUAGUUCCAGUGCCAGCGGUGAUACCUGAUCCAACGUUGAGACCUGGUCGAGUAGGACGAGUUGGGCGAGUAGGACGAGGUGUGCUGACGCCAGUUCCAGUGCUUCCACUUCCUCCAGUUCCACUUCCUCCAGUGUUAAUACCUCCAGUUCCACUUCCGCCAGUGUUAAUACCUCCAGUUCCACUUUCGCCAGUUGUACUACCGUCAAUUCCACUGCCUACAUUAAGACCGCCACCUGUUCCAGCUCCACUUCCUCCAGUAAGACUUCCACUGGUGGAUCCACCGACAACUCCACCACUGCCGGCUUCUUGUCCAGUUCUCCGUCAUCGAGCAGGGGUCGGUCAGUGGUGAGGAAAGUGCUGGGUCCGUCCGGCAGUGAGAAAUGAUCCAAAUGGUACAGCUGGCAAUUGUACUCUAGACCGGCUGAUGUUUCUUUGAACAGGUAGGAACGACACAGGAAUUCGUUUUCCACUUGGCAGGCACGUUGACACGCUGCUUCAUUACUCGCCUGCAAUGCCACCGAAGAGAAAGAGAUCAAAUCAAAUACCGCGCAAGAAAGCAAAGUUCCAUUGAAAAGAUGGAUUGGAGUAAUCACGUAAAAACAGCUGGACGCGGUUCACCGAAAUGCAAGAGUAUCGACCGCGUCUCGUUAAAUUACCAGCUCUUUUAAUGGAAAACAAAACCACCGAAUGUUCCGGCUCAUUUUUACCAAUAGUUCUUUGUCGACGUAGAAAUAGACGUCGGCGUGUUGGGCAACACGAUCUUCGGCUACACCGACGGACGGCACUGCGUACUGGCGAACUCCACGGCAUCCAUCAGCAGCUGGAAAUAGAUUCUCAAAAUAAUCGACGCCUUGAGCAUCUACCAGUUCGAUGGAGUCGUCGACAGAGCGUCGGUCAUGUUCGCUCAAGUGGCACUUGGUGGUGAUAUUAAACUUGAUUUCAUUUUUACGCACCUCGUUGAGGCAAGCGGCCAGGCAAGACUCUUUGGUAGCCGUGAAGAUGAGUGCGUUGUCCAGACCGCGAAGCAUCUUGUUAGGCACCCUCUCAAAAGUCCACGCUAGUUGAUUGCGGAACGAGACAGCUACGCAACACUUGUUUGGCCGAGUGUAAAUAAACGAUCAAACAAAGAAAGAAAAGCUACGUCGUAAACGCACGCAUUUGUGCAUGGCUACCAACACGUCAAUUCUUUUUCGUUUCGAUUUGAAGUCCUAAUCCGGCGAUACGGCAAAUGAAUCCCGGCUAAAAUGGAACCGAAGAUGGAAGAUUCUACACUGACUCUCUUUGUCGCCGAUGGUUAAACUCUUCCGACUCGAUAUAUGGGAAGGAUGGCAAUGAGUCGAAUCCGCGGUUUUCGAGUCAUCCCAAGUCGGUGCCAGUUUUUAAAGCAUUUAAUAAUAGACUAUAUGGACUUGGCGUAUCAUUGACGACCGUCUUUCGGUUCCGGUACACUGCCAUUGUAUGUGUGUCCACAAGAGUUUCAACCAGUUCAACAACAAAAGAAAAAGCCAAGAACAAAAUAAAUUCGAAGCCCCUGGAGGUGAAUGACUCGGACUGGCCUUCGUGUGAGACACUCCAAGCUCCCGCUUUACGCCCUAUCGUCGAAAGAAGAAAAAAACCGGUGGGUUUUACGGAUUCGUUCACGCUUUGGCGAGCUGGAAAACAACAUAAGCUGCGCGGGCACGCGCAAGUCGUGUAAUUUCGUUUACAUCUUAUUUUGUGAAAAGGUAAUGAUUUCUAUUCUUGCAAUGUUUGUCUUUUGUACUUUUGAUUUAACUUUUAAAUCAAAACUGCGUCUUUCAAAGUCACGCGGACGGCCUACAUCUGAACGAUUUCCCAACCGGAAAAUCGAUACCGAGACUGGAUUGUUGGCUUUUUAAUCUGUUUAAUUCGCUCACGUCCGUCAUUGGCCCGUCACGUGUGACGAUGGAUGUUGUUUACCGUUACCCUAAUGUCUUGACAACAUAAAAAAAAACAAAAACAGGGGAAAUUUUUAAGUUUACGUACCCGAUCUAAUGUUGAGCUUGAUCAUGUAAUAAGUGGAGACGGCCUUUUGCGGAUUGACGGUGGGAUUGGAGCCCGUCGUUUCAUUUUGCAAUAAGCAGACGGUCUCCUGGAUGGGAGCCAGCGGGUUGACCACAAAACUGGGCAGAGAAAAAAGGAAAGGAGGUAUAAUUAUCAUCAACUGCUGACGACUUUGCAAUUUGGCUUCCUUGUCGCGUGAUUGCGCCUUUUCCACGACUGUCCAGUCGUCUGUCAUUCGUGAAUGUCAAAAGGAAACAAACCUGAAGGACGCCGCCGCACAGUCCGGUUCUUCUCUGCACCAUCCCUGGCAUUCGUAGAGUGACAAAUUGCGGAUGGUGUAGUAAGUGUUGCCUCGGUAGUCCAUUUCCGACAGCUUCUCAAAACCGACCCGGCCUAUUAUUUUUGUUUUGUUUUCAAAAUGCAUCACAAAAAAAUGGAAAUUCGUUAGAGAAAUUUGGGUUUGGGAGUGGUUUUCCUAAAUACAGCUGGGUUUUAAAUCGUUUGUCUCGUUGUGGCCAUUAUCAAUGGAAUCGACAACGCAAUUGCGUAAAACAAAAGUGACGGUAGUUUGACCAUCAUUCACAACUGUGGUGGUCAAACUCCGUUUUCCGAUAUCGAAUUCUUUCGUCUUUAUUCCCAUUGCAAUGCGGUGACUACUACAAUUUUCCCAUAUCGGCUGUAAUCCAUCGAGCCGGAAAGUUCUAGUUACGAUGGAAACAUAUCAGACUGUGGGUAUUUUUUUCUUUGUACAAAAAAGACACUUCCCGUAUUUUUAACCCAUUUGUUUUUGCAUUUGCGUAAUGUAGAAAAAUUUGAUUUCCGGUACGUACCUUGAAUGUAGGAGACGCAGAGGGCCAGCAAGAUGGCUGAAUAAAGCAGCGGUAACCCGGUCGCACCCAUGGUCCGCUAACAAGUUAACUAUCAGUCAUUUGGAUGACAAGGACCAAACCAUAACUAUACACUAGAAAAGAAUUUGGAUGAUGAGCUGUGACCAUGACACAAAGAUGAUCGAGUAGACCCUUGGAAAAUAAGCGAAGCGCAUCGAUGAUGGAAGUCCCUGUACCACUGGUGGCUCCCAUCGUUUGCGGAACGCUGGGUUUUUAUUAAGUGAAAAGAAUAAUUCACCGUUACGAAGAUAUUCCUACGACAUUGAGACUGUUGUGUGUGGCCCCUUCUGUGAGAACCGAAUGAGAACCACCGUAACUACGCAACAAAAGCCCGGUGGAUGUUGAGCCUCCGCGUUGAUUUUUUCACGAGAGAGGCCACGGAAUAAAUGGGACAUUGAAAAUCGCUGGAACGGAACGUGUUUUUCAAGAUCAUAGCAACCACGUUCGUCUUGGCUCCUGCGUGUACUGUUGUUGUUUUCUUUUCGGAUAACUGUAUCGAAUGACUAACCAAAGUCGUAUAGACACUAAUGGCUGCGGGACUGUGUUGAACUAUACGGAAUCCAGUGAAUCGUAUAUAGUUCCAUCUUAUUAUUCCCGCAAUAAUACACACACACACUGGCGAUCCGGCAUGACCAUCAACACCUAUAAUCACAAGGGAAAAGAUAUCAUUCUGGUUUCCAGCAAACAACCGUGCUCCGGCUGAGAAAUGUUCACGAAGCCUACUGUGUAUAUAUAUUUUUCAUUUUACAGCGUUGUGAUGCGUUAAUCAGUUGCCUUUGCAACAGCGUCGAUCGAGGUAAGAAUGUGGAAACAAGACCAAACAACCGCUAUACCUCCAAGAUAUCGUGACGAGUAUAGCGUGUUUUGAAUAAUAAACUAUCAACAAGUCACGGUGUCCUUUCAUUUGGCGUCGUAUAUUCAUCCGCCAUUUGAUUUGAAAAGUCCCGCCAAAUUCUGUCGAUACCGUCUGUUUGAUCCCGUUGCAGAGAUUGGCCCUUAACCGAAAGUCCCGUACAACAUUUUUGAAGUGAGACACUAUGAAGAGGAACUUGCUGCCGGUAUCUCACCGAGUUAAAGCUUUUUUCUUCAACAUUUCCAAACAAAGGUUGAUUCAUUUCAAAUUGCUCGUUUCAGUUAUUUAUUUUUAUUUUAUUUUUUUCGACUACUAACCCCUUCGUUAUGUUGUCGAGCAACGGCUCACAUCAACCAAAUCGACACGCUUUACAUACUCCAUCGUAUUUUGCGAUGCUUUUGCAGCAGCGGCAACAAUUUACGCAUCACCCAAACCCCGUGACCCGGUGAUCGCCAAGUCACGUUUGUCUUAAAUAAAUGGCACCAUUGAAGUAAGAAAAAAAAAAA